rnacentral:rRNA from 1 species
GACGAACGCUGGCGGCGUGCUUAACACAUGCAAGUCGAACGUGAUUUUUGUGGAAAUUCUUUCGGGAAUGGAAAUGAAAUGAAAGUGGCGAACGGGUGAGUAACCGUGAGCAACCUACCUUACACAGGGGGAUAGCCGUUGGAAACGACGAUUAAUACCGCAUGAGACCACAGAAUCGCAUGAUAUAGGGGUCAAAGAUUUAUCGGUGUAAGAAGGGCUCGCGUCUGAUUAGCUAGUUGGAAGGGUAAAGGCCUACCAAGGCGACGAUCAGUAGCCGGUCUGAGAGGAUGAACGGCCACAUUGGAACUGAGACACGGUCCAAACUCCUACGGGAGGCAGCAGUGGGGAAUAUUGCACAAUGGGGUGAACCCUGAUGCAGCGACGCCGCGUGAGCGAAGAAGGUUUUCGAAUCGUAAAGCUCUGUCCUAUGAGAAGAUAAUGACU